UUGCCAGCGGUUCGGCCGGGAACUCAAAGGAGACUGCCAGUGAUAAACUGGAGGAAGGUGGGGAUGACGUCAAGUCAUCAUGGCCCUUACGACCAGGGCUACACACGUGCUACAAUGGCAUAUACAAAGAGAAGCGACCUCGCGAGAGCAAGCGGACCUCAUAAAGUAUGUCGUAGUCCGGAUUGGAGUCUGCAACUCGACUCCAUGAAGUCGGAAUCGCUAGUAAUCGUAGAUCAGAAUGCUACGGUGAAUACGUUCCCGGGCCUUGUACACACCGCCCGUCACACCAUGGGAGUGGGUUGCAAAAGAAGUAGGUAGCUUAACCUUCGGGAGGGCGCUUACCACUUUGUGAUUCAUGACUGG
rnacentral:rRNA from 1 species